GUAGGUGGCAAGCGUUGUCCGGAAUUAUUGGGCGUAAAGCGCGCGCAGGCGGUUCUUUAAGUCUGAUGUGAAAGCCCACGGCUCAACCGUGGAGGGUCAUUGGAAACUGGAGAACUUGAGUACAGAAGAGGAAAGCGGAAUUCCACGUGUAGCGGUGAAAUGCGUAGAGAUGUGGAGGAACACCAGUGGCGAAGGCGGCUUUCUGGUCUGUAACUGACGCUGAGGCGCGAAAGCGUGGGGAGCAAACAGGGAUUAGAUACCCUGGUAGUCCACGCCGUAAACGAUGAGUGCUAAGUGGUAGGGGGGUUUCCGCCCCCUUAGUGCUGCAGCUAACGCAUUAAGCACUCCGCCUGGGGAGUACGGCCGCAAGGCUG
rnacentral:rRNA from 1 species